rnacentral:piRNA from 1 species
UGAGCUUCACUCUAUGGAUCCGAG